GACGAACGCUGGCGGCGUGCUUAACACAUGCAAGUCGAACGGAAAGGCCCUGCUUUUGUGGGGUGCUCGAGUGGCGAACGGGUGAGUAACACGUGAGUAACCUGCCCUUGACUUUGGGAUAACUUCAGGAAACUGGGGCUAAUACCGGAUAGGAGCUCCUGCUGCAUGGUGGGGGUUGGAAAGUUUCGGCGGUUGGGGAUGGACUCGCGGCUUAUCAGCUUGUUGGUGGGGUAGUGGCUUACCAAGGCUUUGACGGGUAGCCGGCCUGAGAGGGUGACCGGCCACAUUGGGACUGAGAUACGGCCCAGACUCCUACGGGAGGCAGCAGUGGGGAAUAUUGCACAAUGGGCGGAAGCCUGAUGCAGCAACGCCGCGUGCGGGAUGACGGCCUUCGGGUUGUAAACCGCUUUCGCCUGUGACGAAGCGUGAGUGACGGUAAUGGGUAAAGAAGCACCGGCUAACUACGUGCCAGCAGCCGCGGUGAUACGUAGGGUGCGAGCGUUGUCCGGAUUUAUUGGGCGUAAAGGGCUCGUAGGUGGUUGAUCGCGUCGGAAGUGUAAUCUUGGGGCUUAACCCCUGAGCGUGCUUUCGAUACGGGUUGACUUGAGGAAGGUAGGGGAGAAAGGGAAUUCCUGGUGGAGCGGUGGAAUGCGCAGAUAUCAGGAGGAACACCAGUGGCGAAGGCGAUUCUCUGGGCCUUUCCUGACGCUGAGGAGCGAAAGCGUGGGGAGCGAACAGGCUUAGAUACCCUGGUAGUCCACGCUGUAAACGGUGGGUACUAGGUGUGGGGUCCAUUCCACGGGUUCCGUGCCGUAGCUAACGCUUUAAGUACCCCGCCUGGGGAGUACGGCCGCAAGGCUAAAACUCAAAGGAAUUGACGGGGCCCCGCACAAGCGGCGGAGCAUGCGGAUUAAUUCGAUGCAACGCGUAGAACCUUACCUGGGUUUGACAUGGAUCGGGAGUGCUCAGAGAUGGGUGUGCCUCUUUUGGGGUCGGUUCACAGGUGGUGCAUGGCUGUCGUCAGCUCGUGUCGUGAGAUGUUGGGUUAAGUCCCGCAACGAGCGCAACCCUUGUUCACUGUUGCCAGCACGUUAUGGUGGGGACUCAGUGGAGACCGCCGGGGUCAACUCGGAGGAAGGUGGGGAUGACGUCAAGUCAUCAUGCCCCUUAUGUCCAGGGCUUCACGCAUGCUACAAUGGCUGGUACAGAGAGUGGCGAGCCUGUGAGGGUGAGCGAAUCUCGGAAAGCCGGUCUCAGUUCGGAUUGGGGUCUGCAACUCGACCUCAUGAAGUCGGAGUCGCUAGUAAUCGCAGAUCAGCAACGCUGCGGUGAAUACGUUCCCGGGGCU
rnacentral:rRNA from 1 species